GGCCCUCCGACACUCAUCGACAUCUGGAUAUCUGAGGAUGAGUUGGCCUUGACCAAUCCAAAAUUGGUUAGGAGACUCAUCGAAGCUACCCUUCUCCCGACUAAUCGAGAGAAUUGAAAGAACUGGGCCGUCAUCAAAAUAUUUUUCUCCUUUUAUCCGAUGAUACUCGGGGUAAGUUCUUCAAUAUAUCUUUUUUUUAUUUGAUCUGACUUGGUUCAUCUUCUGCUUUCAGUGAGCUCAUGACAUGCAUGACUUAGAGGUCGGCUAUCGAAAGAUUGCCGACUUCCAUCGAUCA
rnacentral:lncRNA from 1 species